AGUGAACGCUGGCGGCAGGCCUAAUACAUGCAAGUCGAACGGCAGCACAGCAGAGCUUGCUCUGUGGGUGGCGAGUGGCGGACGGGUGAGGAAUACAUGGGAAUCUGCCCAGUCGUGGGGGAUAACGUAUGGAAACGUACGCUAAUACCGCAUGCGCCCUAAGGGGGAAAGCCGGGGACCGCAAGGCCUGGCGCGAUUGGAUGAGCCCAUGUUCGAUUAGCUAGUUGGCGGGGUAAAGGCCCACCAAGGCGACGAUCGAUAGCUGGUCUGAGAGGAUGAUCAGCCACACUGGAACUGAGACACGGUCCAGACUCCUACGGGAGGCAGCAGUAGGGAAUAUUGGACAAUGGGGGCAACCCUGAUCCAGCCAUGCCGCGUGAGUGAAGAAGGCCCUCGGGUUGUAAAGCUCUUUUGUCCGGAAGAAAAGCAAUCGGUUAAUACCCGGGUGUUCUGACGGUACCGGAAGAAUAAGCACCGGCUAACUUCAUGCC
rnacentral:rRNA from 1 species